rnacentral:rRNA from 1 species
UGGGGAAUUUUGGACAAUGGGGGCAACCCUGAUCCAGCAAUGCCGCGUGUGUGAAGAAGGCCUUCGGGUUGUAAAGCACUUUUGUCCGGGAAGAAAUCCCCUGCCCUAAUACGGCGGGGGGAUGACGGUACCGGAAGAAUAAGCACCGGCUAACUACGUGCCAGCAGCCGCGGUAAUACGUAGGGUGCGAGCGUUAAUCGGAAUUACUGGGCGUAAAGCGUGCGCAGGCGGUGAUGUAAGACCGAUGUGAAAUCCCCGGGCUCAACCUGGGAACUGCAUUGGUGACUGCAUUGCUCGAGUAUGGCAGAGGGGGGUGGAAUUCCACGUGUAGCAGUGAAAUGCGUAGAGAUGUGGAGGAACACCGAUGGCGAAGGCAGCCCCCUGGGCCAAUACUGACGCUCAUGCACGAAAGCGUGGGGAGCAAACAGGAUUAGAUACCCUGGUAGUCCACGCCCUAAACGAUGUCAACUGGUUGUCGGGCCUUCAUUGGCUUGGUAACGUAGCUAACGCGUGAAGUUGACCGCCU